AUGGGUCAAUUCACAUCAAAGCAAGUGAGGCGUAAAGGGUUGGGUGGGUCUUCUUCUUCAAGUUCAUCUGGAGGUGGAGGUGGAGGUGGUGGGUAUGCAGUGAGGCAAGGAUGUUGGAGCAUGAUCAGAGAGAAAAGGUCCAGGUUCUAUAUUGCUAGGAGGUGUGUGGUGAUGCUUCUUUGUUGGCACAAAUAUGGCAAGUAUUAA
rnacentral:lncRNA from 1 species